rnacentral:rRNA from 1 species
UACGUAGGGGGCAAGCGUUGUCCGGAAUCAUUGGGCGUAAAGCGCGUGUAGGCGGCCCGGUAAGUCCGCUGUGAAAGUCCAGGGCUCAACCCUGGGAUGCCGGUGGAUACUGUCGGGCUCGAGUCCGGAAGAGGCGAGUGGAAUUCCUGGUGUAGCGGUGAAAUGCGCAGAUAUCAGGAGGAACACCGAUGGCGAAGGCAGCUCGCUGGGACGUGACUGACGCUGAGACGCGAAAGCGUGGGGAGCAAACGGG